GUAGAGGAUUCACGUGGAUUGUCGGUCGGACAUAUUUCCCCAGCGGACAACUUGUCUGGACUGCUACGAUGUAUUCAGCAGGAACAGAGAGUUUGGUCAAACAAGCCAGGGAGAUCGGGGAGGAGGAGCUACAGAAGUUCUACUGCAGGAUCACCAAGCAGCUGAUGGGUAAAGAACACGGCCAUGAUGUCAUCGACUCACUCCAGAGACUACACCUGAUCAUGGCCUCCACCAAGUACACUAGGAGGCUGCCAGUGGAGCUGCAUGACCGUCUGCUGUCGCUCUGUGUGUCUUCCUCUGUGGAGCAGCUGACUGUGUUGACCUCGGCAGUACUCAGAGAAACACUGCCCCCCUCUGGCCCGGGGCAGAUCUACACCCUACAUGACCACAGCCCUUUACCCAGUCAUACUGCUGCUUUAAUGCUGUCACAGGUACACAUCCAUACUGGCUAGUGGCAAGUCCCCCAAAAUGUUGUUACCCCAGGUUUAACAAACCCCAACCAGGUACACAUCCAUACUGAAUAGGCUAGUGGCAAGUCCCCCAAAAUGUUGUUACCCCAGGUUUAACAAACCCCAACCAGGUACACAUCCAUACUGAAUAGUGACAAGUCCCCCUUAUUAUUUUGGGUAGGUCAAUACACAACAGGUGAUACUGUAUGUAUGGUGGUUAAAUGGAUAAAUAUUGUGACACACCCCCUUAAUUAACUCAUUAUUUUGGUUCGGCCAAUACACAACAGGUGAUACUGUAUGUCUUUUCUCCAGGCAGGACAGGAAUGACUGAGAGAACAUUUGACUCAGAAAGUUGUGUAUUGAACAGCUACCAUAAAGUGAAGUUUACAUUCAUCAUAAAUAUUGAUAUUUGAUAUUUGAGCAUAUUGUAUCUGUGUGUUUACAGGUCUAAAAUGCGUUAAGAUAUUCUAAUGCUGUUUGUUUGUGUUUGUAGACGACUGACUGCUUGUAUUCCUAAUUUGAGAAAUAUCAGAGCUUUUUACACAACCAUCCAUGUCAUAUAAGGUUGGGCUUUGUUAUACCUCGGGUAGAGGUCUCUCAAAACAUAAAGCCCUUUUGAAGGAUUGGCCACUAGCCUGAAACUCUG